UGGGGGAUAUUGCACAAUGGGGGAAACCCUGAUGCAGCAACGCCGCGUGAGGGAAGAAGGUUUUCGGAUUGUAAACCUCUGUCCUAGGUGAAGAAAGAAAUGACGGUAGCCUGGGAGGAAGCUCCGGCUAACUACGUGCCAGCAGCCGCGGUAAUACGUAGGGGGCAAGCGUUAUCCGGAUUUACUGGGUGUAAAGGGAGCGUAGGUGGCAGGGCAAGUCAGAUGUGAAAACCCGGGGCUCAACCCCGGGAUUGCAUUUGAAACUGCCCGGCUGGAGUGCAGGAGAGGUAAGUGGAAUUCCUAGUGUAGCGGUGAAAUGCAUAGAUAUUAGGAGGAACACCAGUGGCGAAGGCGGCUUACUGGACGGUAACUGACGUUGAGGCUCGAAAGCGUGGGGAGCAAACAGGAUUAGAUACC
rnacentral:rRNA from 1 species